UACGAAGGGGGCUAGCGUUGUUCGGAAUCACUGGGCGUAAAGCGCACGUAGGCGGAUCUUUAAGUCAGGGGUGAAAUCCCGAGGCUCAACCUCGGAACUGCCUUUGAUACUGGGGAUCUUGAGUCCGGGAGAGGUGAGUGGAACUCCGAGUGUAGAGGUGAAAUUCGUAGAUAUUCGGAAGAACACCAGUGGCGAAGGCGGCUCACUGGCCCGGUACUGACGCUGAGGUGCGAAAGCGUGGGGAGCAAACAGG
rnacentral:rRNA from 1 species